rnacentral:rRNA from 1 species
CCUACGGGAGGCAGCAGUGGGGGAUAUUGCACAAUGGGGGGAACCCUGAUGCAGCGACGCCGCGUGGGUGAAGAAGUGCCUCGGCGUGUAAAGCUCUGUUAGCAGGGAAGAAAAUGACGGUACCUGAAGAAGAAGCCCCGGCUAACUACGUGCCAGCAGCCGCGGUAAUACGUAGGGGGCAAGCGUUAUCCGGAUUUACUGGGUGUAAAGGGGGCGCAGACGGCGUUGCAAGCCAGGAGUGAAAGCCCGGGGCCCAACCCCGGGACUGCCCUUGAAACUGGGUGGCUGGAGUGCAGGAGGGGCAGGCGGAAUUCCUGGUGUAGCGGUGAAAUGCGUAGAUAUCAGGAGGAACACCGGUGGCGAAGGCGGCCGGCUGGACUGCAACUGACGUUGAGGCCCGAAAGCGUGGGGAGCAAACAGGAUUAGAUACCCGUGUAGUC